rnacentral:rRNA from 1 species
AGUAACGCGUGGGAACGUACCCAGAUCUAAGGAAUAGCCACUGGAAACGGUGAGUAAUACCUUAUACGCCCUUCGGGGGAAAGAUUUAUCGGAUUUGGAUCGGCCCGCGUUAGAUUAGGUAGUUGGUGGGGUAAUGGCCUACCAAGCCUACGAUCUAUAGCUGGUUUUAGAGGAUGAUCAGCAACACUGGGACUGAGACACGGCCCAGACUCCUACGGGAGGCAGCAGUGGGGAAUCUUAGACAAUGGGGGAAACCCUGAUCUAGCCAUGCCGCGUGAGUGACGAAGGCCUUAGGGUCGUAAAGCUCUUUCGCUGGGGAAGAUAAUGACUGUACCCAGUAAAGAAACCCCGGCUAACUCCGUGCCAGCAGCCGCGGUAAUACGGAGGGGGUUAGCGUUGUUCGGAAUUACUGGGCGUAAAGCGCACGUAGGCGGAUUAGAAAGUUGGGGGUGAAAUCCCGGGGCUCAACCUCGGAACGGCCUCCAAAACUCCUAGUCUAGAGUUCGAGAGAGGUGAGUGGAAUUCCAAGUGUAGAGGUGAAAUUCGUAGAUAUUUGGAGGAACACCAGUGGCGAAGGCGGCUCACUGGCUCGAUACUGACGCUGAGGUGCGAAAGUGUGGGGAGCAAACAGGAUUAGAUACCCUGNUAG